AGUCGAGCGGAGUUAUCUUGAAAGCUUGCUUUCAAGAUAACUUAGCGGCGGACGGGUGAGUAACACGUAGGCAACCUGCCCUUUAGUCUGGGAUAACUACCGGAAACGGUAGCUAAUACCGGAUAAUUCCUUUUCUCUCCUGGGAGAAGGAUGAAAGACGGAGCAAUCUGUCACUAAGGGAUGGGCCUGCGGCGCAUUAGCUAGUUGGUGAGGUAACGGCUCACCAAGGCGACGAUGCGUAGCCGACCUGAGAGGGUGAACGGCCACACUGGGACUGAGACACGGCCCAGACUCCUACGGGAGGCAGCAGUAGGGAAUCUUCCGCAAUGGGCGAAAGCCUGACGGAGCAACGCCGCGUGAGUGAUGAAGGUUUUCGGAUCGUAAAGCUCUGUUGCCAGGGAAGAACGUCCGGUAGAGUAACUGCUACCGGAGUGACGGUACCUGAGAAGAAAGCCCCGGCUAACUACGUGCCAGCAGCCGCGGUAAUACGUAGGGGGCAAGCGUUGUCCGGAAUUAUUGGGCGUAAAGCGCGCGCAGGCGGCGAUUUAAGUCUGGUGUUUAAACCUUGGGCUCAACCUGGGGUCGCACUGGAAACUGGGUCGCUUGAGUACAGAAGAGGAAAGUGGAAUUCCACGUGUAGCGGUGAAAUGCGUAGAGAUGUGGAGGAACACCAGUGGCGAAGGCGACUUUCUGGGCUGUAACUGACGCUGAGGCGCGAAAGCGUGGGGAGCAAACAGGAUUAGAUACCCUGGUAGUCCACGCCGUAAACGAUGAGUGCUAGGUGUUAGGGGUUUCGAUACCCUUGGUGCCGAAGUUAACACAGUAAGCACUCCGC
rnacentral:rRNA from 2 species